rnacentral:rRNA from 1 species
GACGAACGCUGGCGGCGUGCUUAACACAUGCAAGUCGAACGGAAAGGCCCUGCGUUUGUGGGGUGCUCGAUUGGCGAACGGGUGAGUAACACGUGAGUAACCUGCCCUUGACUUUGGGAUAAAUUCAGGAAACUGGGGCUAAUACCGGAUAGAAGCUCCUGCUGCAUGGUGGGGGUUGGAAAGUUUCGGCGGUUGGGGAUGGACUCGCGGCUUAUCAGCUUGUUGGUGGGGUAGUGGCUUACCAAGGCUUUGACGGGUAGCCGGCCUGAGAGGGUGAACGGCCACAUUGGGACUGAGAUACGGCCCAGACUCCUACGGGAGGCAGCAGUGGGGAAUAUUGCACAAUGGGCGGAAGCCUGAUGCAGCAACGCCGCGUGCGGGAUGCCGGCCUUCGGGUUGUAAACCGCUUUCGCCUGUGACGAAGCGUGAGUGACGGUAAUGGGUCAAGAAGCACCGGCUAACUACGUG